CCCCGAUGGAUGAGGGAUUAGACUCGUGGGUGUGUCCGGAUGGAGCUGAGAGUGGAGAACUUCCUGGUCACCCUGCUUGACAUCGGUGGGGCCCCGGAGGUGCGGGGGUCCUGGGGGGAUCUCUAUGGGGAGGUCCUUGGGUUCAUCUUUGUGGUGGACUCCAGUGACCAGCAGAGUAUUAAAGAGGUCCAGGAGUAUCUGACAGACCUGCUGAAGCAGCAUAAAUUGGCUGGCCAGCAAGCAGGACAAGAUGAACGCCCUGCUGGGGAUUGAGAUAAUUGAGAUCCUAUCUCUGGAGAGACUGGUGAACCAGAGCCGCUGUCUGUGCCACAUUGUCUAGUCUAGUCCUUGUACACACAACUAGACAGACAGCCAAUCAGCUAGCCAGCCAUCCAGCUAGCCAAUCAGAGAUACAGAUUAUGUUAAUUAUGUACAGGAGACCGAUAGAUACAUAGACAGACACAAAUCCAUAGAUUUGAUUGUGUUGUGCUUUUCUGCUCAAGAAGCCCUGUUCAGCCUUCAUGGACCAGCUGAGGUGGACAGACAGAAGAUGCUGUGGGGUCUUUGCUGGCUGCUGCAAGCCGUCAAUCUGGAUUACCCAGAACUCUGUUCUUUCAUAAUCAGGAACAUCAGGGACAGGAGACCUCUGGCACCAGAUGAGGGACAACCGUGGGAAGAUGGAGAGGCUGCAGCAAGCCCAAAGAUGAAAGGAUACGUGGCAGCAAAAAAUAACCUUGAUAAAGUACAACGCCUUCAAGAAAAGGACCAAAGGCCCAGACCCCCUUCCUACAACCCAUUUGAGACAUUGACACUUUUAGUUGCAGAUCCAUUUGAUCUUGAUAAGAUUCCUAUAGUUUCAGUACAGUAAAGGUGUUAUGUGUGAACUGAUACACAUUUUGUAUUUUAGGAUAAUAUGAAGAAAAAGAAGGGAGGCCUGCCCUGCCUGCAAACCCUCCACAACCUCAUUCUAUUACCUCAUAUCUUACAUUUAUGGAUUAUAACUGGAGUUUCCAUCAGCUUUUGAAGGACAAUUUAAAAAGACCUGACAGCACAUUUUUCUUAGUAGCAACUGUGUAGGAAUUACAAAGCCAAUACACCUCUGAGAAAUGUGUGUUUAUUUUAUGUUACCAAAAUAUGUUAUAUGUGAGUGUCAAUAUUUAUUUAUUAGUGGUUAUUUAAUUAUCUGUAGUAAAAGUAAACAAUUGUUUACAAACAUGAUCAAUGUACGGACAAACUAUUUCAAUUCCUCGUAAAUAUAAAUAGAGUUGAUCUGUUUAUAUUGCAAUUUUGAUGGAAAGUAAGACUUGAUUUUAUAAAGUUUCUUGGCCCCUUUGUUAUAUUAUAUGUUAUAUGUUAUUACUGUAUAUGUUGCUCGCUUCGAGGCAAGCAACACUGAGGCAUGCAUGAGAGCAUCAGCUG